rnacentral:rRNA from 1 species
CCAAUAGCGUAUAUUAAAGUUGCUGCAGUUAAAAAGCUCGUAGUUGAAUUUCGGGACCAUCAUGUCGGUCGUGCCUCGGUACGUACUGGCAUUGUUGGUUUCUCCCUUCUGACGAACCAUGAUGUCAUUUAUUUGGUGUUGUGGGGAAUCAGGACUGUUACUUUGAAAAAAUUAGAGUGUUUAAAGCAGGCUCACGCUUGAAUACAUUAGCAUGGAAUAAUGAAAUAGGACGUUUGAUUCUAUUUUGUUGGUUUCUAGGAUCGACGUAAUGAUUAAUAGGGAUAGUUGGGGGCAUUAGUAUUCAAUUGUCAGAGGUGAAAUUCUUGGAUGUAUUGAAGACUAACUACUGCGAAAGCAUUUGCCAAGGAUGUUUUCAUUAAUCAAGAACGAAAGUUAGGGGAUCGAAGACGAUCAGAUACCGUCGUAGUCUUAACCAUAAACUAUGCCGACUAGGGAUCGGAUGAUGUUAAUUUUUUAAUGACUCAUUCGGCGCCUUACG